rnacentral:rRNA from 1 species
GACGAACCGUCCAAACGUUAUUCGGAAUCACUGGGCUUAAAGGGUGCGUAGGCGGCUUGGCAAGUUGGGUGUGAAAGCCCUCGGCUCAACCGAGGAAUUGCGCCCAAAACUGCCGGGCUAGAGGGAGACAGAGGUGAGCGGAACUUAGGGUGGAGCGGUGAAAUGCUUUGAUAUCCUAAGGAACACCGGUAGCGAAAGCGGCUUCCUGGACGGUACCUGACUCUGAUACACGAAAGCUAGGGGAGCGAACGGG